ACUCCUAGACUCAAGCAAUCCUCCCGCCUCAACCCCGCAAGGUGCUGGGAUUACAGGCAUGAGCCAGGAUCCCAGCCAGAAUUUGCAUUUUUAACAAACUCCUAGUAGGGGGUGCUGGGCCAGGGUCCUCAGACCACUCUGAGUAGUGCCACCUUAGAACGAAGUCCAGCUACUUCGCGAGCCUAGGACCGUCCUCUGUCAUGUGGUUCCUCCAGUCUCACCUGUCCCCACCUCCUACCCUUCAUCAGUGUAUUAGCAAGACCCAACUAUCUGCAUGUUGCGGUUCUCUCUGUGUGUUUGCACAGGCUAUUUCCUUCGAGUGAAAUGCCUUCUCUUCACUACACUGCUGCUCAAACUGUCUGACUUCUACCUGCCCUUUAAAAUCUUGUCCAUGGAUGUGUCAAAGAGUAUAAUCAACAGAGUGAAAAAAGGAACCUAUAGAAUGGUAGAAAAUAUUUUCAAAUCAUAGAUCUGAUAAGGAAUCGAUAUCCAUAGUGUAUAAAGAACUACAACUAGACCACAAAAAAAUCAAUCCUGAUUCAAAAAUGGGCAAGGACUUGAAUAGACAUUUCUCCAAAGAAAAUAAACAAGUGGCCAAUAAGCACUUGGGAAGAUGUUCAACAUCACUAAUCAUUAGGGAAAUGCAAAACUACUGAGGCCCCCACCAUCCUGACUCUCUCUCCUUCCUUCCUUUAGAGGAUGUGGCCUUCCAGAUCAACCUCAACCCUACUCAGGGAGCUGCUCAGCUUCCUCGAGGGCCUGGAGUAGAUGGCUUCCAUCUUCUCUUUUGCCACCUGUGGAGGUUUUUAAGAGCAAACAGAAAUUCAAGUGAAUUGUCCUCCUACAGUUACGAAACUAUUACAGCUACUUCUGAUUAUCCAUUCAGGUUAAAUCAGGCAUCAUUUCAGUCACCUCCAGCCACACAAUGAGAUAUCACCUCACAGCCAUCAGAAUCGCUACUGUAAAACAAAAACAGAAAAUAACAAGUGUGGACAAGAAUGUGAAGAAAUUGAAACCCUUGUGCAGUUGGAGGGAAUGUAAAAUGGUCCAGCCACUGUGGAAAACAGUGUCUUCAUCUCUUUCCUGUUGCUAUAACUGAACACCCGAGACUGGGUAAAUUAUAAAGAAAAGAAUUUA